rnacentral:lncRNA from 1 species
GCGGGCGGGACGGGACGGGGAGAGGCUGCGGCAGCGCGGCGGGACCCGGCGGAGCGACAGCCCGGCCCGGGGAAGAGGCGGCGCCGGCAGGUGCUGGGCCGAGGGCAGCGCGUCCCGGCGGGGCAGCGCUCACGGGCAUGGACAAGCUCAACAGGCUGACGGUGCCAGCCGGGGAGAAGUUCAGAAAGCUUCAGAAGAUGGUGCAUGACAUCAAGAAAAAUGAAAGUGGGAUAAUAAACAAGUUCAAAAAGUAAGUUUGCAACACCAAUCCCUAGUUUUAUCAAUGUGGGGAAGUUUGGAUUAUGAGCAUAGAGGUGUGUGGUACUUUAGUGAUGGG